rnacentral:rRNA from 1 species
AUGCGUGAUCAGGUCGGCAUCGGCCUGGACGGCUUCCCCCUCGACCACGAGUUCCCCGACGACUAUGGGCUAGAGGAAGAGGACGAGUGCGACAUCGAAGUGGAACCUUUGUUCGAGGACAAGCUCGCCAACCAAGCCGCCGGUCCUAAGCCGAAGCGCAAGAGCAAGCGCACGAAGGCGUACGCAGCUGCCGAGGACAAGCUUCUUUGCGAGUGUUGGCGGGACAUUGGACAAGACCCAAAGACGGGCGCCGAGCAAAAGCAUUCAACCUUUUGGACUCGUGUGCACCGAGAGUUUCAUGAGCGCAAGAAGUUUCCACCUUACCAAUUUGUGAGCACGCGCGGGUGGGUCUCCAUUUCCAAGCGGUGGAGGGUGUUCCAACAAGAGUGCAACAAGUUUUGCGCCACCCUUGAGAGCGUCAAGGCCCGCCUCGUGAGCGACAUCGGCAUGCAAGACAUGGCAUUUCAAGCUUUGGAGGCAUUCAAGGUUCAACGCAAUGGCAAGUGCUUCAACCUCUCCCAUUGUUAUCGGGUCAUCAAG